rnacentral:rRNA from 1 species
GAUGAACGCUGGCGGCGUGCCUAAUACAUGCAAGUCGAGCGAACAGACGAGGAGCUUGCUCCUCUGACGUUAGCGGCGGACGGGUGAGUAACACGUGGAUAACCUACCUAUAAGACUGGGAUAACUUCGGGAAACCGGAGCUAAUCCCGGAUAAUAUAUUGAACCGCAUGGUUCAAUAGUGAAAGACGGUUUUGCUGUCACUUAUAGAUGGAUCCGCGCCUCAUUAGCUAGUUGGUAAGGUAACGGCUUACCAAGGCAACGAUGCGUAGCCGACUUGAGAGGGUGAUCGGCCACACUGGAACUGAGACACGGUCCAGACUCCUACGGGAGGCAGCAGUAGGGAAUCUUCCGCAAUGGGCGAAAGCCGGACGGAGCAACGCCGCGUGAGUGAUGAAGGUCUUCGGAUCGUAAAACUCUGUUAUUAGGGAAGAACAAAUGUGUAAGUAACUAUGCACGUCUUGACGGUACCUAAUCAGAAAGCCACGGCUAACUACGUG